AAUCUAACGGACGGUUGUGUAUUAAUACAUCACAUGUAGACAAACAGACGUCUAGGUUUAUUAGUCAUCCCGUACAACCUAACGGACGGUUGUGUAUUAAUACAUCACAUGUAGGCAAACAGACGUCUAGGUUUAUUAGUCAUCCCGUACAACCUAACGGACGGUUGUGUAUUAAUACAUCACAUGUAGAUAAACAGACGUCUAGGUUUAUUAGUCAUCCCGUACAACCUAACGGACGUGGCUGUGUAUUAAUACAUCACAUGUAGACAAACAGACGUCUAGGUUUAUUAGUCAUCCCGUACAACCUAACGGACGGUUGUGUAUUAAUACAUCACAUGUAGACAAACAGAUGUCUAGGUUUAUUAGUCAUCCCGCAAUACCUAACGGACGUGG